rnacentral:rRNA from 1 species
AGAGUUUGAUCCUGGCUCAGGAUGAACGCUGGCGGUAUGCUUAACACAUGCAAGUCGAACGCACCUUUCGGGGUGAGUGGCGGACGGGUGAGUAACGCGUGAGAAUCUGGCUUCAGGUCUGGGACAACCACUGGAAACGGUGGCUAAUACCGGAUGUGCCGUUGGGUGAAAGGUUAACUGCCUGAAGAUGAGCUCGCGUCUGAUUAGCUAGUAGGUGUGGUAAGAGCGCACCUAGGCGACGAUCAGUAACUGGUCUGAGAGGAUGAUCAGCCACACUGGGACUGAGACACGGCCCAGACUCCUACGGGAGGCAGCAGUGGGGAAUUUUCCGCAAUGGGCGAAAGCCUGACGGAGCAAUACCGCGUGAGGGAGGAAGGCUCUUGGGUCGUAAACCUCUUUUCUCAGGGAAGAACACAAUGACGGUACCUGAGGAAUAAGCAUCGGCUAACUCCGUGCCAGCAGCCGCGGUAAUACGGAGGAUGCAAGCGUUAUCCGGAAUGAUUGGGCGUAAAGCGUCCGCAGGUGGCUGUGUGUGUCUGCUGUUAAAGAGUGAGGCUCAACCUCAUAAGAGCAGUGGAAACUACACGGCUAGAGUGCGUUCGGGGCAGAGGGAAUUCCUGGUGUAGCGGUGAAAUGCGUAGAGAUCAGGAAGAACACCGGUGGCGAAAGCGCUCUGCUAGGCCGCAACUGACACUGAGGGACGAAAGCUAGGGGAGCGAAUGGGAUUAGAUACCCCAGUAGUCCUAGCCGUAAACGAUGGAUACUAGGCGUGGCUUGUAUCGACCCGAGCCGUGCCGUAGCUAACGCGUUAAGUAUCCCGCCUGGGGAGUACGCACGCAAGUGUGAAACUCAAAGGAAUUGACGGGGGCCCGCACAAGCGGUGGAGUAUGUGGUUUAAUUCGAUGCAACGCGAAGAACCUUACCAAGACUUGACAUGUCGCGAAUCUUCUUGAAAGGGAAGAGUGCCUUCGGGAGCGCGAACACAGGUGGUGCAUGGCUGUCGUCAGCUCGCGUCGUGAGAUGUUGGGUUAAGUCCCGCAACGAGCGCAACCCUCGUUUUUAGUUGCCAGCAUUAAGUUGGGCACUCUAGAGAGACUGCCGGUGACAAACCGGAGGAAGGUGGGGAUGACGUCAAGUCAGCAUGCCCCUUACGUCUUGGGCUACACACGUACUACAAUGCUACGGACAGAGGGCAGCAAGACAGCGAUGUCAAGCAAAUCCCGUAAACCGUGGCUCAGUUCAGAUCGCAGGCUGCAACUCGCCUGCGUGAAGGAGGAAUCGCUAGUAAUUGCAGGUCAGCAUACUGCAGUGAAUUCGUUCCCGGGCCUUGUACACACCGCCCGUCACACCAUGGAAGCUGGUCACGCCCGAAGUCAUUACCCCAACGAUUCGUCGAGGGGGAUGCCUAAGGCAGGACUGGUGACUGGGGUGAAGUCGUAACAAGGUAGCCGUACCGGAAGGUGUGGCUGGAUCACCUCAU